UGAGUAACAUGCCCUGGACUUUGGGAUAACCCUCGGAAACGGGGGCUAAUACCGGAUAUGACGCACUCUCGCAUGGGAUGUGUGUGGAAAGUUUUUCGGUCUGGGAUGGGCUCGCGGCCUAUCAGCUUGUUGGUGGGGUGAUGGCCUACCAAGGCGACGACGGGUAGCCGGCCUGAGAGGGCGACCGGCCACACUGGGACUGAGACACGGCCCAGACUCCUACGGGAGGCA
rnacentral:rRNA from 1 species